UACGAAGGGGGCUAGCGUUGCUCGGAAUCACUGGGCGUAAAGGGUGCGUAGGCGGGUCUUUAAGUCAGGGGUGAAAUCCUGGAGCUCAACUCCAGAACUGCCUUUGAUACUGAAGAUCUUGAGUUCGGGAGAGGUGAGUGGAACUGCGAGUGUAGAGGUGAAAUUCGUAGAUAUUCGCAAGAACACCAGUGGCGAAGGCGGCUCACUGGCCCAAUACUGACGCUGAGGCACGAAAACGUGGGGAGCAAACAGG
rnacentral:rRNA from 1 species